rnacentral:rRNA from 1 species
UACGUAGGGACCGAGCGUUGUCCGGAAUCAUUGGGCGUAAAGAGCGCGUAGGCGGCUAUUUAAGUCCUGCGUGAAAUCCUGCGGCUCAACCGCAGACGGUCGUGGGAAACUGGAUGGCUAGAGUCCGGAAGAGGAGUGUGGAAUUCCCGGUGUAGCGGUGAAAUGCGCAGAUAUCGGGAAGAACACCCGUGGCGAAGGCGGCACUCUGGGACGGUACUGACGCUGAGACGCGAAAGCGUGGGGAGCGAACAGG